CUAUAUAUGGAGAAUUCAGGUGCCGGAACAUCCGGCUUAAAAGGGAAUUCGGUUCAAUGCCGAAGCUGUCCCCGCAACUGUAAUUGUGGACGAAAUGGAAUAGCCACUGUACAGAUCAGUUAAUAAAAUGACUGCUGUAUGGGAAGGCCCAAAGUAGGAAGAAGCAAAAGCCAGUAGACCUGCCUGAAGACUCCUAUUUUC
rnacentral:ncRNA from 1 species